GAUACUUCUACAUACCUAAAAGGCUUUAAAAAAUUAUGCCCAUCACCAUCAGUCACUGUUACCAGGGCCAGUGCCUCAUCUGGACUCUCAUCUUAUAGGACGAACAUGAACACAGGAGCACCAGGAUUUGGGCCUACGCUAGGGUGGCUUGAAGCCUCCUGUCCUGAUGAAUAGGGACUAUGAUCCAGAGACCUGAGGACCGAACCCAGGGCCUUGUGCUUGCCAGGGAUGGAGAAACCCUGAGAUGAGCCAUUCUCGUGGCUGGAUCUAACUCCCUGGAUGUGGUGAUGAGUCUCUGCGUUGCCUCGUCCAGACAAACGCCCAACUUCAAGGACUUGCCAUGGGAGAAUUCUAGAAUUCUGCUCUAUUUCUGGAUAGAGCAUGUUUCCAUCAGGAACAGAUGAACUGUUUCCACACUUAAACUGUUGGCUCUUUAAACACUUAUCAGGGAAAAUGGAUGAUGGACAAAAGAGGCCAUGGAAUAAAAAAGGAGCUGAGG
rnacentral:lncRNA from 1 species